UACAGAGGGUGCGAGCGUUAAUCGGAAUUACUGGGCGUAAAGGGUGCGUAGGUGGUUACGUAAGUAACAUGUGAAAGUCCUGAGCUUAACUUGGGGAUUGCAUGUUAGACUGUGUAGCUAGAGUGUUGUAGAGGAUAGCGGAAUUUCCGGUGUAGCGGUGAAAUGCGUAGAUAUCGUAAGGAAGGCCGGUGGCGAAAGCGAGCCUCUGGACAGUUACUGACGCUGAUGCACGAAGGCCAGGGGAGCAAACGGG
rnacentral:rRNA from 1 species